UGGAGCUGCACCACGCACUCCAGGUGCUCCACCGCCUCUUGGCUUCUCGCUUGGGAACUCCAGAGUCUCGCCUCAGCUUGCAAUGGACCCCAACUGCUCCUGCGCCGCUGGUGGCUCCUGCACCUGCGCCGGCUCCUGCAAGUGCAGAGUGCAAAUGCACCUCCUGCAAGAAGAGCUGCUGCUCCUGCUGCCCCGUGGGCUGUGCCAAGUGUGCCCAGGGCUGCGUCUGCAAAGGGGCAUUGGAGAAGUGCAGCUGCUGUGCCUGAUGUGGGAAGAGCUCUGCUCCCAGGUGUAAAUAGAGCAACCUGCACAACCUGGAGGUUUUUUUACAUACAACCCCUAGCGAUUUGCUGCAUGUCCUAUUAUAUGAAAUAUGUGAAUGACAAUAAAACAAUUUUGACUUGAA